CAGUAGCCGCGGUAAUACGAAGGGGGCUAGCGUUGCUCGGAAUUACUGGGCGUAAAGGGCGCGUAGGCGGACAUUUAAGUCGGGGGUGAAAGCCCGGGGCUCAACCUCGGAAUUGCCUUCGAAACUGGCUGUCUUGAGUACGGGAGAGGUGAGUGGAACUCCGAGUGUAGAGGUGAAAUUCGUAGAUAUUCGGAAGAACACCAGUGGCGAAGGCGACUCACUGGCCCGUUACUGACGCUGAGAGACGAAAGCUAGGGGAGCAAAUGGGAUUAGAUACCCCAGUAGUCCCUGUCUCUUAUAC
rnacentral:rRNA from 1 species